AUUAACCUUCGAUAGAGUCUCAAAUGAGUCUCGAUAAGGUUAUUUGAUUUUUGGAUCUGGGUAAGAUCAGGGGCUUGCUCCUGCUUGCCACGGGUCGUCCCAGCGUUGCACUGCUGCUGGGAACGGCCCUCCCCAA
rnacentral:snRNA from 1 species